UGAUUUAGAUUAGCUAGAAAGCAGGAUUUCCUGCUUUCUAGCGAAUAUAAAUCGCGCGACACAGCUUAUCGACGGAAAUACUGGUUCGGAUGAACUGGUAGCAUUUUUUUACUACCGGUUCACCCGAACCUGUAGCUUUUAUUAUUAUUGGUUCGCCUGAACCAGUGCGAACCGGUAGCAUUUCACCUCUGGUGCAGGUGGGGCUCCUGUCCCACCCAGCUGUAUUAAUGGAAAAGGCCCAUUCCUGGGGCCGAAGGGAGAAGAGAAGACUGCAUGGUACCUGCAAGAUGAGGAUGAAGUAAUCUGCCAUCUUAUUCCGUUGGUACAAGUAAUGGUGGGGAGAUUCCUUGAAGUUCUCAUCAAAUUUCAGCUCACAAAUGACAUCAUGGUGCUUCAGUAAACGCAGCAGGUAUUUUUCAGAGAUGAGGCUGGGGCAAAAUUGCAGGAUCUCUGUAUGAUGGGAAAGGGGCAGAGGCAUGAAUGUUCCCAAGGACAUUUCCCCAAAACUAAAAUCACAGGGCAUAAAUAUUCCUCCAAAGCUGUACUAGACAGUAAUAGUAACAGAGUUGGAAGGGACCUUGGAGGUCAUCUAAUCCAACCCCCUGUUCUCAUAGGAGUCCUAUGCAAUGGAGAAAUUCAGCCAAUUCUAUCCGGUUUGGGGAACCGGUAGCGGCGGUGGCGGAAGGCUCCGCCCACCCUCCUAGACAUCAUCACGUCCUGUUUUUGACCCUCUGCACAUUUGCGGACUGGUAGCGACGAUCGAUUGUCAACUGCAAAGGUGAAAAGCAAAGAAAAGGUCACCUACACAUUCAUGCUGGACAGCCAUGCUAGCCACUCCCUCUGUUUCACUGAGCACCACCAGGAUGGAUGUUGUCAAGGAGAUGGACUUGAAAUGGAGUGAACCGGAUUCAAAUCUCCACUCAACCAUGGGUGACUUUGGGCCAGCUGCUCUCUCAGCCUAAUCCACCAGCUUCAGAUCCCAUCAAGUCAAAUCUUUAUUGGUGCAUAUGAGAGCAUAUGCACCAAGACAAAUUCCUUGUGUGUCCAAUCACACUUGGCCAAUAAAAUUCUAUUCUAUUCUAUUCUUCUAUUCUAUUAUAGUCAUAGACCAGUAUAAGAGCCGAGGUGGCACAGUGGUACUGCACUCUACUUCUGCCGACUGCCAGCUGCCUGCAAUUUGGCAGUUCAAAUCUCAACAGGCUCCAGGUUGACCCAGCCUCCCAUCCUUCUGAGUUGAGUAAAAUGAGGACCCAGAUUGUUGGAGGCAAUAGAUUGACUCUGUAAACUGCUCAGGGAGGGCUGUAAAAGCACUAUGAAGCAGUAUAUAAGUGCUAUUGCUAGUGCUAUAAGGGGGCAGAGGGGAGGUAGAGAAUACAUCACAGAAAAAAAUAUUUUAAAAAUUAUAAAAAGCGAGAAGAUGUUUUAAAGAUGUAAGGAUUGAAAAGAGAAAACAUACGGCCAAACAAGAAUCUAAAAGAAAAAGUGAGAUAUAAAUGCAUUAAAAUAGGAAAUGCAGGGAACUGCAUUCUGCAGUCACAAAUAUUAUUUUUAUAGAAUGUCUUGAUGUGAACCCAGGAGCCUAUGGAAAGGAAUGAGAGUUAUUUACAGAUGAUAACGCUUCAUGUGGACAGGAGGAGAAACCCAGAUAUUUCCCACCCCUUUGCAUCCUAUCCCCAUUCUUGAUAGUGUUCAAUUUCAAGAAGAUAGAAUAGAAUAGAAUAGAAUAGAAUAGAAUAGAAUAGAAUAGAACAGAACAGAAUAGCAUUGAAUAGUAUAACAUUGAAUAGCAUAGCAUAGCAUAGCAUAGCAUAGCAUAGCAUAGCAUAGCAUAGCAUAGCAUAGCAUAGAAUAGAAUUGAAUUGAAUUGAAUUGAAUUGAAUUUUUUUAUUGGCCAAGUGUGAUUGGACACACAAGGAAUUUGUCUUGGUGCAUACGGUCUCAGUGUAUAUAAAAAAUACAUUCAUCAAGAAUUCUAGCUAGACUGGAGAGUGGUGUUAAGAGAGGGCCUAGUUUAGAAUCCUUGUGGUGCAAAAAGCAGCAGAAGUCUGACCUCCCACAGAAUCCUUGAAGUCUGACCGUUCCCAAGGGAAUGCAGUAAGUCUGGCGAGAUUCUUGUAACAUAGCAGCCUAGCCAUAAAAGCUUCUAUUCGCAAGUGGUUCUGGUUGCUUGCUUGCUCCUGGCAGUUCUCUUCCCUCCGUUUUGCUUAAUUUUGCAUCUUUUUCCUUCAUCGUGCCUUCUGAAGUGGCACAUAUACCAUCUAUAUUACAUAAAGAAACUAUUUCCUACAGCAGCUUCAUUUAAAGAAGCUGAAUCUGGGGUAAAUUUCAACCUUUCUAUAACUCCUCUCCCUUCAAAAGGAGGUUCAGAUAUAUACAGAGUUUCUAUCAAAACCAGAGGUGGUAUUCACCUUCACGACCGGUUCACAAAUGUGAGCUCUCACACGUGCCACCUCCACACAUGCGCAGAGCCUUCCGCGCAUGUGCAGAGCAUCAAAAACGGGACAUGAUGACAUCCGGGCUGGUGGGCAGAGCCUCUCGCAGCUUCCACUACCAGUUCACAUGAACCGGAUAGAACUGGCUGAAUAUCACCACUAAUCAAAACUAUUUGCAGGAGAGAAACCAGUAGCAUCAGAAACAAGAAGGAUGUUGUUGGAUCUUCAAAGACUAAUAACGUUUGUUAUGACAAUUACCUGAAUCUUUAUGCAACAAUAAACACACUCAUCUUUAAGGUCCCACAAAAUGUGCGACUGUUCAUAUAGAGUGAGAUUCUGUUGUUGUUUCCCUCACACAUAUGGAUGCAACUAUUCUCUACAAAUACUUAAGA